CCUACGGGUGGCAGCAGUGGGGAAUAUUGGGCAAUGGGCGAAAGCCUGACCCAGCAACGCCGCGUGAAGGAAGAAGGCUUUCGGGUUGUAAACUCCCUUUGACAGGGAAGCGCAGAAGACGGUACCUCUCGAGUAAGCCACGGCUAACUACGUGCCAGCCGCCGCGGUAAUACGGGGGUGGGAGGCGUUGUCCGGAUUGACUGGGUUUAAAGGGCGUGUAGUCGGGCUGGCAUGUCAGAUGUGAAAGCCCGGGGCACAAACCCCGAACUGCAUUUGAAACAGGUAGUCUUGAGUAGCAGAGAGGCAGGCGGAAUUCCUGGUGUAGCGGCGAAAUGCGUAGAUAUUAGGAGGAACACCAGUUGCGAAGGCGGCCUGCUGGACGAAAACUGACGGUGAGGCGCGAAAGCGUGGGGAGCGAACAGGAUUAGAUACCCGUGUAGUC
rnacentral:rRNA from 1 species